CGCGGGAAUAUCGUAUCAAUUGGGAGAUAUAUACUCCGUUUGCAGGCGCUGCUCGAAUGUUGCCACCUAGAAAUGAAAAGUUCACAAUUGGGAAGCUGAAAUCAUCUCUUUUGUCGUACAGUUUUGUUUUCAACCGACCCUCAUUGUCAAUUUAUAGAUGGAAGUCAAGAUAUGAGGCCGACUUAAUUGUAUCUGUUGUAUCCUUUAUCUCUAGUUCGAUGGGAUAUAUGCGUUCAACA
rnacentral:lncRNA from 1 species